rnacentral:lncRNA from 1 species
GCAGGAAGGACAAGCCAGAAGCUGGGGUUUCCCUGCAAGUGGGUUCAGGCCAUGGUGUCUCCCAGUGAUGCUGGUUUCUUGCUUCCUGGGUGGCUCGCAGUGACAGCCGCCCUCUCCCUCCCUCCCACACUCCCUUGCAGAGUCUCAGCUAUUUCCUGGAGGUCUUGGUGAGCGUUCAGACCUUCAUGCCCCGGGCCAAGCUUCUGGUCAUCAGCAGUGUUGUGCACCUGCAGCUCUGUGAUGAGAUCAAGCCACCCAGCCCAGAGCACAGCACAGAGCUGUGCUACUGCACCAUGCUGCAGGCCCAAAUUUGUCCAGAAGAGAUGAUCGUGUUCCUGCAGUCUGAGUUAGCAGUGGGCGUGAGGCCGGUCAUGUGGCAGCCAUGGAUUUGCUGCAAGCUCUGGUCUGCUCUGAUGCCCCUCAGAUCGAGGGAGAAGCUGCCCCUGGCUGUGAUGGCUGUGCAGUCUGUGUGCUGUGGCCCAGGUGAGCUGGUUUGGGCAGGGCCAGUGCUGCCGUGGGGGCAGAGCAACCCUAUCCCUGAGACAGAGCAUGGUGAGUCCAUACCAGUAGGCAAAGGCAGGACCUGGGGCCAGAGCCCAGUGGCGGCUGUGGAGUGAGGGCUGCUGCUGAGCCCUCAUCGUCUUGGCCUGGCCGGAAGGGUUGCAGUGCUUUGAAAGCAGCUCCCCUGGGGUUUUGAGCCAGGGUUGUAACUGCAGCCUCCCUGGCAGCUGAGGAGGGCAAUUCUUCAUUUCAUUGGGGAGCUGCUGCGCUCCAGUGCCCUGGGCUGCUCGGCGUGGGACGUGGUGGGGCACCUCUUCAGCGAGUUCAGCCGGGCCUCGGGCAGACUGGUAAGGGCAGAGUGUGAUGCUGGGGCUGUGUCCUGUGCCCCAGCUGUGCCGCACUGCCAUGGGCGUCCCUAACUGCAGGGAGCCUGGUGCAGCAGGGCAACCAGUGCUGCAGUGGGAGUAGCCUCCCCAUCGCCAUCCACCGUGGGAUCUGGGAAGGGGCAGUGGCAGGUGUUUCCCACCUCUGUCUUGCAGGUGACAGGAAACCUUUGUGCUGAGGAAGCCCAGGAAGAAAAGGC